CAGCCGCCGCGGUAAUACGUAGGUGGCAAGCGUUGUCCGGAAUUAUUGGGCGUAAAGGGCUCGCAGGCGGUUUCUUAAGUCUGAUGUGAAAGCCCCCGGCUCAACCGGGGAGGGUCAUUGGAAACUGGGAAACUUGAGUGCAGAAGAGGAGAGUGGAAUUCCACGUGUAGCGGUGGAAUGCGUAGAGAUGUGGAGGAGCACCAGUGGCGAAGGCGACUCUCUGGUCUGUAACUGACGCUGAGGAGCGAAAGCGUGGGGAGCGAACAGGAUUAGAUACCCCAGUAGUCCCUGUCUCUUAUAC
rnacentral:rRNA from 1 species